rnacentral:rRNA from 1 species
GAAAUAGAACCUGAAACCGUGUACGUACAAGCAGUAGGAGCAGGCUUUGUCCUGUGACUGCGUACCUUUUGUAUAAUGGGUCAGCGACUUAUAUUCAGUGGCAAGGUUAACCAUCUAGGGGAGCCGUAGGGAAACCGAGUCUUAACUGGGCGUUCAGUCUCUGGAUAUAGACCCGAAACCAGGUGAUCUAGCCAUGGGCAGGUUGAAGGUUGAGUAACAUCAACUGGAGGACCGAACCGACUAAUGUUGAAAAAUUAGCGGAUGACUUGUGGCUAGGGGUGAAAGGCCAAUCAAACCUGGAGAUAGCUGGUUCUCCCCGAAAGCUAUUUAGGUAGCGCCUCGGACGAAUACUACUGGGGG